rnacentral:rRNA from 2 species
GAUUAAGUUAUUAAGGGCGCACGGUGGAUGCCUUGGCACUAGAAGCCGAUGAAGGACGUUACUAACGACGAUAUGCUUUGGGGAGCUGUAAGUAAGCUUUGAUCCAGAGAUUUCCGAAUGGGGAAACCCAGCAUGAGUUAUGUCAUGUUAUCGAUAUGUGAAUACAUAGCAUAUCAGAAGGCACACCCGGAGAACUGAAACAUCUUAGUACCCGGAGGAAGAGAAAGAAAAUUCGAUUCCCUUAGUAGCGGCGAGCGAAACGGGAAGAGCCCAAACCAACAAGCUUGCUUGUUGGGGUUGUAGGACACUCUAUACGGAGUUACAAAGGACGACAUUAGACGAAUCAUCUGGAAAGAUGAAUCAAAGAAGGUAAUAAUCCUGUAGUCGAAAAUGUUGUCUCUCUUGAGUGGAUCCUGAGUACGACGGAGCACGUGAAAUUCCGUCGGAAUCUGGGAGGACCAUCUCCUAAGGCUAAAUACUCUCUAGUGACCGAUAGUGAACCAGUACCGUGAGGGAAAGGUGAAAAGCACCCCGGAAGGGGAGUGAAAUAGAACCUGAAACCGUGUGCUUACAAGUAGUCAGAGCCCGUUAAUGGGUGAUGGCGUGCCUUUUGUAGAAUGAACCGGCGAGUUACGAUUUGAUGCAAGGUUAAGCAGUAAAUGUGGAGCCGUAGCGAAAGCGAGUCUGAAUAGGGCGUUUAGUAUUUGGUCGUAGACCCGAAACCAGGUGAUCUACCCUUGGUCAGGUUGAAGUUCAGGUAACACUGAAUGGAGGACCGAACCGACUUACGUUGAAAAGUGAGCGGAUGAACUGAGGGUAGCGGAGAAAUUCCAAUCGAACCUGGAGAUAGCUGGUUCUCUCCGAAAUAGCUUUAGGGCUAGCCUCAAGUGAUGAUUAUUGGAGGUAGAGCACUGUUUGGACGAGGGGCCCCUCUCGGGUUACCGAAUUCAGACAAACUCCGAAUGCCAAUUAAUUUAACUUGGGAGUCAGAACAUGGGUGAUAAGGUCCGUGUUCGAAAGGGAAACAGCCCAGACCACCAGCUAAGGUCCCAAAAUAUAUGUUAAGUGGAAAAGGAUGUGGCGUUGCCCAGACAACUAGGAUGUUGGCUUAGAAGCAGCCAUCAUUUAAAGAGUGCGUAAUAGCUCACUAGUCGAGUGACACUGCGCCGAAAAUGUACCGGGGCUAAACAUAUUACCGAAGCUGUGGAUUGUCCUUUGGACAAUGGUAGGAGAGCGUUCUAAGGGCGUUGAAGCAUGAUCGUAAGAACAUGUGGAGCGCUUAGAAGUGAGAAUGCCGGUGUGAGUAGCGAAAGACGGGUGAGAAUCCCGUCCACCGAUUGACUAAGGUUUCCAGAGGAAGGCUCGUCCGCUCUGGGUUAGUCGGGUCCUAAGCUGAGGCCGACAGGCGUAGGCGAUGGAUAACAGGUUGAUAUUCCUGUACCACCUAUAAUCGUUUUAAUCGAUGGGGGACGCAGUAGGAUAGGCGAAGCGUGCGAUUGGAUUGCACGUCUAAGCAGUAAGGCUGAGUAUUAGGCAAAUCCGGUACUCGUUAAGGCUGAGCUGUGAUGGGGAGAAGACAUUGUGUCUUCGAGUCGUUGAUUUCACACUGCCGAGAAAAGCCUCUAGAUAGAAAAUAGGUGCCCGUACCGCAAACCGACACAGGUAGUCAAGAUGAGAAUUCUAAGGUGAGCGAGCGAACUCUCGUUAAGGAACUCGGCAAAAUGACCCCGUAACUUCGGGAGAAGGGGUGCUCUUUAGGGUUAACGCCCAGAAGAGCCGCAGUGAAUAGGCCCAAGCGACUGUUUAUCAAAAACACAGGUCUCUGCUAAACCGUAAGGUGAUGUAUAGGGGCUGACGCCUGCCCGGUGCUGGAAGGUUAAGAGGAGUGGUUAGCUUCUGCGAAGCUACGAAUCGAAGCCCCAGUAAACGGCGGCCGUAACUAUAACGGUCCUAAGGUAGCGAAAUUCCUUGUCGGGUAAGUUCCGACCCGCACGAAAGGCGUAACGAUUUGGGCACUGUCUCAACGAGAGACUCGGUGAAAUCAUAGUACCUGUGAAGAUGCAGGUUACCCGCGACAGGACGGAAAGACCCCGUGGAGCUUUACUGUAGCCUGAUAUUGAAAUUCGGCACAGCUUGUACAGGAUAGGUAGGAGCCUUUGAAACGUGAGCGCUAGCUUACGUGGAGGCGCUGGUGGGAUACUACCCUAGCUGUGUUGGCUUUCUAACCCGCACCACUUAUCGUGGUGGGAGACAGUGUCAGGCGGGCAGUUUGACUGGGGCGGUCGCCUCCUAAAAGGUAACGGAGGCGCUCAAAGGUUCCCUCAGAAUGGUUGGAAAUCAUUCAUAGAGUGUAAAGGCAUAAGGGAGCUUGACUGCGAGACCUACAAGUCGAGCAGGGUCGAAAGACGGACUUAGUGAUCCGGUGGUUCCGCAUGGAAGGGCCAUCGCUCAACGGAUAAAAGCUACCCCGGGGAUAACAGGCUUAUCUCCCCCAAGAGUUCACAUCGACGGGGAGGUUUGGCACCUCGAUGUCGGCUCAUCGCAUCCUGGGGCUGUAGUCGGUCCCAAGGGUUGGGCUGUUCGCCCAUUAAAGCGGUACGCGAGCUGGGUUCAGAACGUCGUGAGACAGUUCGGUCCCUAUCCGUCGUGGGCGUAGGAAAUUUGAGAGGAGCUGUCCUUAGUACGAGAGGACCGGGAUGGACAUACCUCUGGUGUACCAGUUGUCGUGCCAACGGCAUAGCUGGGUAGCUAUGUGUGGACGGGAUAAGUGCUGAAAGCAUCUAAGCAUGAAGCCCCCCUCAAGAUGAGAUUUCCCAACUUCGGUUAUAAGAUCCCUCAAAGAUGAUGAGGUUAAUAGGUUCGAGGUGGAAGCAUGGUGACAUGUGGAGCUGACGAAUACUAAUCGAUCGAAGACUUAAUCAA